rnacentral:tRNA from 1 species
GCGGGAAUAGCUCAGUUGGUAAGAGCACUAUCCUGCUGCUGUCGGGGGUCGCGAGUUCGAGUCUCGCUUCCCGCC